rnacentral:rRNA from 1 species
UACGUAGGGGGCAAGCGUUGUCCGGAUUUAUUGGGCGUAAAGAGCGUGUAGGCGGCCUGACAGGUCUGCUGUGAAAACUCGAGGCUCAACCUCGAGAUGUCGGCGGAAACCGUCUGGCUAGAGUCCGGAAGAGGAGAGUGGAAUUCCUGGUGUAGCGGUGAAAUGCGCAGAGAUCGGGAAGAACAUCGGUGGCGAAAGCGCUCUACUGGACCGCAACUGACACUCAGGGACGAAAGCUAGGGGAGCGAAUGGG